rnacentral:rRNA from 1 species
AUUGAACGCUGGCGGCAUGCUUUACACAUGCAAGUCGAACGGCAGCGCGGGCUUCGGCCUGGCGGCGAGUGGCGAACGGGUGAGUAAUACAUCGGAACGUGCCCAGUAGUGGGGGAUAGCUCGGCGAAAGCCGGAUUAAUACCGCAUACGACCUGGGGGUGAAAGCGGGGGAUCUUCGGACCUCGCGCAAUUGGAGCGGCCGAUGGCAGAUUUGCUAGUUGGUGGGGUAAAGGCCUACCAAGGCGACGAUCUGUAGCUGGUCUGAGAGGACGACCAGCCACACUGGGACUGAGACACGGCCCAGACUCCUACGGGAGGCAGCAGUGGGGAAUUUUGGACAAUGGGCGAAAGCCUGAUCCAGCAAUGCCGCGUGUGUGAUGAAGGCCUUCGGGUUGUAAAGCACUUUUGGCGGGAACGAAAAGGACUGUGCCAAUACCACGGUUCGAUGACGGUACCCGCAGAAUAAGCACCGGCUAACUACGUG